rnacentral:rRNA from 1 species
GGGCCCGCACAAGCGGUGGAGUAUGUGGUUUAAUUCGAUGCAACGCGAAGAACCUUACCAGGGUUUGACAUCCUGCGAAUCUCUUGGAAACAGGAGAGUGCCUUCGGGAACGCAGUGACAGGUGGUGCAUGGCUGUCGUCAGCUCGUGUCGUGAGAUGUUGGGUUAAGUCCCGCGACGAGCGCAACCCACGUCUUUAGUUGCCAGCAUUUAGUUGGGCACUCUAGAGAGACUGCCGGUGAUAAGCGGGAGGAAGGUGUGGAUGACGUCAAGUCCUCAUGGCCCUUACGGGUUGGGCUACACACGUGCUACAAUGGUAGUGACAAUGGGUUAAUCCCCAAAAACUAUCUCAGUUCGGAUUGUCGUCUGCAACUCGACGGCAUGAAGUCGGAAUCGCUAGUAAUCG